UACGGAGGAGGCAAGCGUUAUCCGGAUUUACUGGGCGUAAAGGGUGUGCAGGCGGGAUGACAAGUGGUGUAUGAAAUCUCCCAGCUUAACUGGGAUAGGUUAUGCCAGACUGUCAUUCUAGAGUGCGAGAGAGGGGCGUGGAAUUCCGGGUGUAGUGGUGAAAUGCGUAGAUAUCGGGAGGAACACCUGUGGCGAAGGCGGCCACCUGGUUGGAUACUGACGCUGAGACGCGAAAGCGUGGGGAGCAAACAGG
rnacentral:rRNA from 1 species